CCUGGCUCAGGAUGAACGCUAGCGACAGGCUUAACACAUGCAAGUCGAGGGGCAGCACAGGUAGCAAUACCGGGUGGCGACCGGCGCACGGGUGAGUAACGCGUAUGCAACUUACCUAUCAGAGGGGGAUAACCCGGCGAAAGUCGGACUAAUACCGCAUGAAGCAGGGGCCCCGCAUGGGGAUAUUUGCUAAAGAUUCAUCGCUGAUAGAUAGGCAUGCGUUCCAUUAGGCAGUUGGCGGGGUAACGGCCCACCAAACCGACGAUGGAUAGGGGUUCUGAGAGGAAGGUCCCCCACAUUGGUACUGAGACACGGACCAAACUCCUACGGGAGGCAGCAGUGAGGAAUAUUGGUCAAUGGGCGUAAGCCUGAACCAGCCAAGUCGCGUGAGGGAUGAAGGUUCUAUGGAUCGUAAACCUCUUUUAUAAGGGAAUAAAGUGCGGGACGUGUCCCGUUUUGUAUGUACCUUAUGAAUAAGGAUCGGCUAACUCCGUGCCAGCAGCCGCGGUAAUACGGAGGAUCCGAGCGUUAUCCGGAUUUAUUGGGUUUAAAGGGUGCGUAGGCGGCCUUUUAAGUCAGCGGUGAAAGUCUGUGGCUCAACCAUAGAAUUGCCGUUGAAACUGGGAGGCUUGAGUAUGUUUGAGGCAGGCGGAAUGCGUGGUGUAGCGGUGAAAUGCUUAGAUAUCACGCAGAACCCCGAUUGCGAAGGCAGCCUGCCAAGCCAUGACUGACGCUGAUGCACGAAAGCGUGGGGAUCAAACAGGAUUAGAUACCCUGGUAGUCCACGCAGUAAACGAUGAUCACUAGCUGUUUGCGAUACAGUGUAAGCGGCACAGCGAAAGCGUUAAGUGAUCCACCUGGGGAGUACGCCGGCAACGGUGAAACUCAAAGGAAUUGACGGGGGCCCGCACAAGCGGAGGAACAUGUGGUUUAAUUCGAUGAUACGCGAGGAACCUUACCCGGGUUUGAACGCAUUCGGACCGAGGUGGAAACACCUUUUCUAGCAAUAGCCGUUUGCGAGGUGCUGCAUGGUUGUCGUCAGCUCGUGCCGUGAGGUGUCGGCUUAAGUGCCAUAACGAGCGCAACCCUUGCCACUAGUUACUAACAGGUAAAGCUGAGGACUCUGGUGGGACUGCCAGCGUAAGCUGCGAGGAAGGCGGGGAUGACGUCAAAUCAGCACGGCCCUUACAUCCGGGGCGACACACGUGUUACUAUGGCGUGGACAAAGGGAAGCCACCUGGCGACAGGGAGCGAAUCCCCAAACCACGUCUCAGUUCGGAUCGGAGUCUGCAACCCGACUCCGUGAAGCUGGAUUCGCUAGUAAUCGCGCAUCAGCCAUGGCGCGGUGAAUACGUUCCCGGGCCUUGCACACACCGCCC
rnacentral:rRNA from 1 species